GGGGGGAGGGGACACCGCCCGCCCCGCCGCUCCCCCCGCCCGCCCCGGCGCCCCCAGAGGCGGGCGGUCGCCGCCUGCUCGCCCGCCGCCCCUCGCCCUGCCGAGGCGGCCCUCCCCUCCCCGCGGCGGAGGCCACGGCCGCCGGCAGGCGGGCGGGCCGGGGCGGUACCUGCGCUGGAAGUCCGUCUCGAAGGGGGCCAGUGCGUCUGCUGCCGGGUGAGCUCUUCGUUCCCACACACAAAAAAACCCACCACCACCACCACCACCCCCCCAACCAGAUUUGGUGUCAUCGUGAGCGCUGGAAUAAAUUUCUCGACCGUUUGAUAGGGUGCUGGCGUACUCACACACAAGGUCAGCAAAACAAGGCUCCGGGGGCAUCCAUGAGUUCUCAUAAACACCGUGUCUGUACAGCAAAAUGUCGCUUAACCGGACACAUAAAGAAUCCUAAACAAAUGUGUCUCUAGGUCCUGAGGUUGGCAGUUUAAGUCUUCCCGAUGCAGACGAGAGAGCGGGCUUGCUUUACGACAAGUCAUCAGCCCCUGAGGUCUUCACAAGAAGAACAAUGAUGUUUGUGUUGGGGGGUUCUCAUUCCUCAGUCUUAGCUCUCUUUCCUCAAAGAAUCUGAAAUAUGAAUAAUUGUGGUAGGAUAAAUGACAAUACAUGGACCACUAGGAAUACCGAGUCUCUGGAACCCAUCUGCCAUUUACUUUGUGUCAUCACUGACUCAUAACACAGUGUUUUAGGCAAGAUUAUUGUUAUAGAUAUAUAUUUUUGCCUUAACAUCAACCUUGUAUAAAUUUAACAUUUUUUUUAUCAGUGAUACAGUUCGCUGUCUCUGGUCAGUCAGGUCGGUAGUAGUCAAAUACCAGCCAUAUUAGUACACUAUAAAGAAGGAAUCCUUUCAAAAGUCUUUCAUGUCUUACCCCCAUUAAAACUCAGUCUCACGGACCACACUAAGUCCUCUCCUGACAUUUUUCUAUUGGUCAUUAUCUGGCUCUUCUACCAUUUGCAGUUCAGGCAUUAAUUUAUGCAAAUGAAGAGAUUUCUUCAUUCAUAAGAUCAUUGUCCAAAUUGUUAGAAUUGUUUGUUCUAUUUCCUCCUUCUGCUGUUUCAGCUGCACACAGUUAAAAUACUGAAUUGCUCUUACAGUUCAUGAAUUAUCUGUGGCUUUUCGACCUAUGCACUCCUUCAGCUGUCUCUUCAGUAACUCCUGUGUUGUCAUCUGUUUCAACACAUGGACAAGAAAAACUCACAAAGGUUUCUAUCCUGGGAGCUGAGUCAUUCUCUAAAUCAGGACCAUCAUCCUAUGAACACAAAAUCUUCCUCUGCAGAACUUAAGGGCAAUCAUGUGGCAUUGAUAUCCUUAAGGAAUUUAAAGUUACAUGGAAGAAAAUUGAGCCCCAUGCUGAUGGAGGAGAUAGGCUUUAUGGUUCCUCCGUUAUCUCAUUGCAUGUUGGUAAAGCGGCAGAAAUGGAAUACGAGAUACAAGUGUCAUCAGAAUAUUUCCCUGGUUUUGUAAGGAGUUGCACAAGGAGCCAUUCCUUUUCUGUAAAAUGAAGCAUGGGUAUUCAUAACUGUAAAAAACCAACAGCACUGCCAACAACAGAAGAAUAACUGCCAUAUGUUGUUUCUUGUUUUUCUAAUUUCCUUUCUAUAGAAUGAAGUAUAGAUAUUUGUAUUAAAAAAAAAAAGCCAACAAUAAGAAAAACUGUCACCUGUUGUCUACUGUUUUUCUUAAAUCUAGAAAUGUUUUGCAAGUUUAACUUAAACGAUUAGUCAGGUUUUCAGCUUUAGAAUAAACUGAAGUAUUUCAGCUUUUAGCAUCUGUCCUGCUUGCUCACAUGAUGUUGGGGACCAAUUUUUCAUAAACAUCAAGACCUCUUUCAACACUGACACAAUCGUGGGGAACUGAGGUGGGUUCCGUUGUAUUUCUGUAGUAAAUUACAUUCAUUUUAUAACCUAUUCAAUACUCAGAAACAUGAAAACAAGCCUUUUUAUUAAUUUGAAUCUGGUACAUUUUGCCUUUCAGGUUAAUGUAUUUUAUGUACUGCUUUGAGUGCAAGUUUGCAUAUUAACUGAAAGAGGUUUGAUUAGUUUUAUUCUCUUCUUUUCAAAAAUUCUUUUGCAUUGUGUAUUAGCUCUAUUAGUAAAAAGUAAAAAAUCUUCUCUGACAACUUUCCAUUAUGUUAGAGAAAUUCAACAAAGCCUUUAAUUUCUUUUGUCUUGCAUUGUAAUCCUGGUUAGUUAAGAAAAAAAAAGUCUUCCCAGAAUAUGGUAUUUGCAUGUAACUAUAAUACUGUCAUUCAUAGUUAGAGAUAAUAUGCAGAGGUUAUAGCUGUGUGAGCUAUUUAAAAAUCAAAAGCAGCACAGUCAGGAUGUCUGGAGGAGCAGUAUGUAAAAGUUAUCCCUUAAGAACAUAUCCUUCUAAAGGGUAACCAAAUAUAAUUAUUUCAUGUGGUGCUGUAUAAUUGAGAUGCCUUGGAAUUCCCCCUCUUGUAACACUUUUGGUCUAGCUGUUACGCUUGACAGGGUAAGGUUAAAUCUCCUUCUCCUAUCACGGGUUAGGAAAUACUUUUAGUGCUAAGAAUAGCUCAUUAAAGGUGGAUGGAAUGUCUCUUUUUCCAAUGUACAUAUUAAUUACCAUAACACUCAGUGAAUUUAUCUUUGCUGACAGAAUGACAUUGCUGUAUCAAUGAAAACUGAGUUUCUUGUUGAUUAAAACUGUCACUUGCCUGGAAUAACUAGGUCCAAUGAAGUAAAAACAAGGGAAGCGGGGCAAGAUUUUGUAAAAAUAUAUGGUUCUGUUCUAAGCAAAACAGCACCUAUUUCUUUUUAGAGAGAAUUUGAAUUGAACAUAGAAUUUUUGAGUCAGUAAUCUCACAUUAUUUGAUCCACUGUUGUUCUGGACCUCAUAUGACCCACUGCUGAAUUACUGGCUUUGCAGCAAUGUCACUGAUAGCAGAAGACUCCUUAGUAAGAAAACUUACUAGUGUGCUUGAACCUUAGAACUUGAGGUGAGCAGUGCCAGGGACACCUGUGGCCUGAAGGCAGAGGCAAAACACUCCUUUUCUCCUACAAUACACAUGGAAAACUCUUGGUAAAGAAGAAGGGCUAGAGAAUAUGUACAUCACCAGAUCUGUAUGUACAUCACCAGAUCUAUGUCUCUUUGUUUCCACAGGAGCACCCUUACCCUUUCCCAUGUUCUCUGCCCCAGCGCUGAGAGUAUCACUGUGUAACCACAGUUUAAGAUGUAUGCUACAAUGCCUUCUUCCAUUCAAUCUAAAAUAAUUUUUUUUGACCCGCCUCCCAGAGCGCAGUGCACUGUGAGUAAAAUAUAUCCCUAAGAAAUUAGUAAUAUAUGCACCCUUACUUGACUUUCCUUUCAGCUGCUGAAAUAAGAUACUCAUUUUCUCUAAAGUGUCUGUAGAUGGAUGUCUAGAGUUUAUGAACUGCCAAAUGUGUGACUUCAGGAUAACUGCCAAAGUUGCAAGGCAAACAAGAAGCUACCGAGCACUGGAUAGUCACAGUGCUUGUCUAAGAUCCAGUUAAGGAUCCACUGUUCCUAGUAAGAAGUGCAAUCCUUCUAUAGAGUUUUUCCAAUAGAACAGGGAUCUCUAGGUCAUUAUUGUCACAAAGCAACAAAGUACAGAAGAAAGAUUUCAGUGUACCUUCUAAGCACACGGUACUAGAGCAAAAAAUGCUAAAUAAACAAUCUCGGCAUAAUUCGGGAGAGGAAGAUUAGCUAAGAAGUCUGUUAUUCAAAGAAAAUGGCCACCACUGCUGCUGCAGAGAUGAAGAAUAGUUAAAAAAAGUAGUAAUGCAUAAUUUACAAUGCUUUAUUUUCAUGCUUUUAAUAAGAAUUCAUACUAUCUUAUUAGAACAUGGCCAAUUUUUCAACAAAAACCUAAUAAAAAAUAUGACAAUUAUUCAAAUACUUAACUGUGACUGACUCUGGUAUUGAAGGGAAAUACAAAGCAUUAAUUCUUUUAGAAACUUUUUCUCCAGUUGUUUAAAAUCUUUUCUAUGAAUUCGAAAUCUUGUCUGCAUUAUUUUUGGUCUGAAGGAAUUCCACAGAUAACCUGGGACUAGCAUUCAUAUCUGGAAAUUUGAGUUCCUUUGGCUUGUUUUGACUAAACUUGCAUGAUAUUCCUGUUUGCUGUGGAUACUUAGCACAUUGCUGGUGCUAGACGUUUUGUCAUGGCUAGUUCAAAUGCUGGUUUGAGUGAUUUUUCUCAGACAGUCAUUUAAAAUGCGAUCACCAAAACCCAAAAGAAACAGUAAAUUACUGAGCAUGUUCUUUUACCAAUUUGACCAAAUAUUCCCAGAAGUAUUUUUCAGCAUUCACUGACUGGCAGAUAGCAGUGCCUUUAUAUCCAGUAGUGCUGUCUCCUAUGGGACAAGAGCAGUUGCUGGACCUUGUCUCUACCUAAUCUCUUCAGUGCACAGUCUUUCUGAGUGACAGGGCUCUGCCCACAGACUACUGUAGCAGAACUCCCCUGAGAUGCUGUCCUUUAAACCUGAUGAGCCUACAGCGUCCCGUAUUCUUUAUUUCUGCAUUUAAGUCUCCUUCUCAGAACUGAGUCCCUUAAAUGGCUGGAUUUCAGUACAUUUGAUUCUUUCUAGUUUGAAUGUCCUACAGCUACCACUUUUUGUUCAAGCCCCAAAGAGGCAUCUCUUUGUUUCUAACCUUAUUAACACGGUAAGCCAAACGACGAUUUGCCUCUGCAUGACACUUCUCUCUGGGUAGUAGACCAGUGUGCAGUGACUCACAAUCUCUCCUAGAACUGUUUUACAGAAAACAGCAAAAUGUUUCUCCACCUGUAUCUUGCUGUAAAGCUUAUCCACUCCGAUACAUGAAGUAAGUCGACUCACCGCUGGUAUGCCAAGCAGUAUUGCCAGUGUCACGGGUCCCCCGCUCAGCACCCGUCGCGGUGUUUUUCACUGCUGCUCUGGAGAUGCUAGCCACCUACCUCCUUCCUGGGCUGGGUUUGCCCUGAGUUUUGAUUGUAAAACUUAAAAAUGGGAAAGCAGGGCUGUAACCUGGAGGUAGGCAAAGUGGGUCAUCCCUCAGUUAACAAGUCCACCAUUUCUCUUUUCAUAACUCCUGAUCCGUUAUUGGAAAUAUCACUAAUCACAGUCUGGUUCCCUGCUUCCUUGAUUCUUUGAUUAAUUUCAAGCAAAUUCAUCAUGAAAAUAUCAAGCAGUUAAACUGAGAUACAUGUAAUAUUAAUGAAGCAGAUAUCCCCCCACGUUCUAAUAGAGGCACUUAUCCUGCUGGUUGGCUUUCACUCAGGAUAAGGAAGGAUCAAAUUAUGACCCUUCACUACAGUUGUAGAAAAACCUAAGGCUGUUUAUUUUAACUGCUGCGUUAACUCAGCAUGAUUGUUUUUAAUGGGAUGAUUCUUGGUAGCAUUACAGGUGGCAAAAAGGAAUUUUUCUGGAGGACCUGAUCCUUUAGCCACCCUAGGCAACCAGCUUAUAUUCCUCCCUUCUCUGAGAAACAUCUGUGGGAGAAGUGGUGGCAGUCUGAGGCCUCAGAAGAGUUCGCCAGGCACAGCUCACAGAUAAGCCAGUUUACUGUAGUUCAUUUCUUCAUCUACUUCAUGCUACUCUACAGUAUUAUAUUCAUCCUUCUCACCCUCAGGACUUUUCCUUUUUUUUUUUAACCUGCCAUACCUAAAAGGCAAUUUACAGACCUUACUUAAUCCUGAAGAGCAAGGAUGUUAAUUGGGUUGAAAAUGGUAAUGAUGCAUCUAGUUCUGUCUUACCUGCAGUGCUCUUCCUGCUCUCAGGACACCUGAGUGCCCCUGCAUCCCAGAACAGAGGCUUUGAACACAUAUUUUUCUGUGUUGCACCCAGCUCCUCCCUUGACCCGUUAUCAGUGGCACAUUACACAGUGAAUCAAAUCUGAAUCCCACAAUAUUUCUCCUCAUUCUGUUUCUGAGUAAGAGCAGGUAUAUGCUCGAGACUUUUUUGAUAUUUAUUGCCUCAGUUAAAGCAUAAUUAGCUCCAUGAACUAAUGAAAUGGGGAUUAACCACCUCCACUUUAGCUGAGACCUCUAUCACCUUUACGUUUCAGGCUUCUAUUUGGUUCUUCAGCUAUUUCAUUUAUCGGUCAAGGAGGGGUUUAAGUCUGCAGUAUAAUAAUAUUUGAAAUUACUAGUAAAUAGCAUUUUACAACAUUAACUAGUCUGUCCUUACCACAUCCUUUUCAGGCAGGCAAAUAAAUGUUAUUAUCCUUAUUUUACAAACACAUUGAUUAAGUGACUUGCCUAAAUGCCACACAUCAAUUUCAAUGUCAAUGCCAACAUUAGCAUAGAGAAACUUCUGCAUUGCAGUCACAGAAAAAAGUGAUCUGUGUUAUCAAGUCCACCUCCCCUCAGAAACAAGCAAUCACUUCUCAGAUAUGUAGUCUAGAUAGCGGUUACACACUUCACAUCCCCUGUAUGCCCCUAUGCUUUGUCCAUCUGUUAAGCUUCUCCUUGAUGAUGGCUCCAAAUGGUUCCCAGUAUGUCUCUAACACGGGAAGCUUUUGUAUGUGCCUCCCGGUUUCAACCCAAGGGCUGGAAAGCAUUGCCUGGAGAACCUGUGAAACUCCCACAUUGAUGGCUGAGCUUGUGGAGUCAGAGGGUGAGGGAACGAAGAGGGCCUCGUGCUGCUCUCUAAAGGGCAACCUGAAGAUGAGCAAUGAUCUGAGGGAACAGCAGGGGCAGGAUUAGGAAGAAAUUAGUAAGGUCUUCCACCAUUUUAAGAGGAAUUUUUUUUGCCUCUCUAACCAACAAAAUUUUCAAUUUUUACGUUGUGGAAAACAGGUACAAUUCUCUUUCCUACUGCUGCUAUAGCUACUGUGUGGAAAUGGUGGUAGCUGCAUUGAUAACUUUGGAAGUGGAGUCUUCAGCUCUAAAAUGCAGUAGCAUCUGUAGUCCUCAAUCUGUUGAGCUAUUGGGUAAAUUGCUUCAUUUUGAAGCUCCUGCUUUUAAAUUUGGAAGGAAUUUUGGAUUUGAUCUCCAUUGUCUGGCUUAGACAGACAGACUGUGUCUGUGUUCAUCUCCUGACUGAUGAGCAACACAAACCUUACUGCAUGCAUGUGCUAUGUAUGACAAAUGAAAGUAUAACAAGUAACAUCAUAGCAUGCAAAAAUCUGUUAAACAAUGCCGAGUUUCUAAUGUUAAAAACCUGCUCUGUUUACAGACUGUUAUUUCUAAGGAAAAAUAUGUUGGUGACUAUAUUUGUUUCCCCUCCAGAGCAAGUCUUCCCUACCUGGAAAAACAAACAAAAUAGAGAAUCUUAGGACAGAACUUUUAACAGCUAAUUAAGGCCUCCGCGUGUAAGGGUGGCAUUGUUUUGUUCUGAGUUAGGUACAGUUCACAAGACCUUUCUGACUCAACUUCUUAAUGUGACAGAAAAUCAAAAUAUUCAUAACUCAUUUGAACCACAGUAGUAUAUGUUCAUCAGCAGAUUCACGAAUCUGUCAUUAAAGCCCAUGGUGUCAUUUGCCAACACCUGAAUUUGACCUAGUCAUUGAAGCUGAUACUGUGCCAAUGUCUGAAAGGAGAUACACUGAAAAAUUGUCCAGUGUUUAUGAUAGAUACUGGUAUUUCAGACCAGACUCCCAGGCGAUGAAUUAUAUUCUUAAUAAGCAUACAUGACAAAGUUAAAUUUAGAAGUAGAAUUUUAAAUAGUUGCCAAGUUUUUAACUGAAGGUCAUUUGUAUUUUUUUUUUAACCCAUGCAGACACUCACAGGAAAUGUGUGAACUUGCCUUCAAAAUACCUCAAAUAUUAGCCAUAUGAAUUACACAUUUACCUUUUUUCCUAGCUUUUAAAAGAUUAUUUCCUGCAUAAAACUUAACAUCAAUCAGUUUGUUGCUUGUGAGUCACCUGUAGAUUGCGGUAUCAGAAUUAUUCAAUAGAAUUAUGCCUGUCAGAAUUUUAUAUUCACUCCAUUAUUCAUUAACAACAAAAAAUAAAGCAUCUUUCUAAACAAA